rnacentral:lncRNA from 1 species
AGGUAUCCACUGAGAUCAAUCUUGAAUUUUUUUUCUUAUUGUAGAUCAUUUUUCUCCAAGUAGGAUCUCAACCUUUUGAACCUUUGAUCAAUUGUUGAUCUCUGACUAUAGUGUCAACACUUGAACUGCAGCCUUUCUUCCUUUUUGUUUAAUGUAGAAGAAAAACAUCCUUCACCUUGGGCAUGUGGGAAGAUGGGACGCCCAACACUUGGACGUUGGAAAGAGAGGAAGAAGGGGUGGCAUGAAGAAGGAG